rnacentral:lncRNA from 1 species
UGGCAGGAUACAUGUGACCUGCUGACAGGCUGUGCACAUAUUUUAUUUGAUUCCAGGAGCAAGGAGUCCAAUUCUCCAGGGUUUAUGAAGAAUUGCUGUAAAUGUCACUUACAGAAUGAAAAAAAGACAGUCUUGGAAGAGUACUAGAUCACUGAAGAAGAGGAAGCAUUCAUGUUUACCCAUACUAAGCAGAAACAGGUAUUAUUAAUCAAUAAAAAACACUUGUCUUAAAAAACA